AGGCCACACUUGACAGCUCCAGCGUUACCAACUACAGACCGGCUUGGUGUGACUGGCUCUGCUUAGAGAUGGUUCAUUCUACAAUUGGGGAACCAGGACAGAGAAUCUAGUUGCUUGUCUUUCAUUAGACUUGAAGCAUGGUGUGUCAAGCUGAGCUGUAAUCGAGGUUCAAAGUACUUGAGGUUUUAAAUCUGAUGUGGGCAACUACUGGAAGCCAGUGAAGGGAACGCAGCAGCGGAGUAUGUGUGAACUUCAGAGGAUUGAAGACUACUCAUGCUGCUACAUUCUGGACAAGUAGAGGCCUGAUGGCUCUUAAAGGAAGACCAGCAAGUAGCAAGUUGAAGUAGUUUAGCUUUAAUAUUACAAGAGACUGCACAAGCACCUGGGUAUCUUCCACAUAUUCCAGUUCAUACAUAUAAUUACUAAUAAUUUUUUUUGUUAGUUUAUUUGUUUGGUUUUCUACAAUCAGUUAUGCAAACCAAUUAUGCGCUGGCAAUUGUGACCCUAUUUCCAUAAAUCCAAGCUCUGUACUCUAAAAAUUAACCUAUGCUUAUAUUAUGUGAAGACCAAAACUGGUGCUAGUAACUGUCUUCCAUACUACACUUCUACCAACCAUGAAAAACACAUGCAAGAGGAUAUUUAAUUAAUUGAGAGUAUUUAAAUGUAAUAGCAACAUGCUCUUUGUAUUUGUCAUAUUAUAUAAAUUCUGUUCCUUUUGUGUUUUGACUGA